UACGUAGGGUGCAAGCGUUAAUCGGAAUUACUGGGCGUAAAGCGUGCGCAGGCGGUUGUGCAAGACCGAUGUGAAAUCCCCGGGCUUAACCUGGGAAUGGCAUUGGUGACUGCACGGCUAGAGUGUGUCAGAGGGGGGUAGAAUUCCACGUGUAGCAGUGAAAUGCGUAGAGAUGUGGAGGAACACCGAUGGCGAAGGCAGCCCCCUGGGCUGACACUGACGCUCGGGCACGAAAGCGUGGGGAGCAAACAGG
rnacentral:rRNA from 1 species